rnacentral:misc_RNA from 1 species
CGUAAACAAUCUAAGAACCUGUUUGGUACAGCUUCAACUCCUGAAUUUAGCUCCAUGAGUUGAGUCUGGAGUGGAGUUGUGGAGCUGCCUAAACCCAGCUCCACAACUCUAGUACAUUUUGUGAGAGAGCUCCACCCAACUCCACUCCUAGUUUUCGUAGAGCUAAAACUGUUUGGCUGAGCUCCAGCUCCAGGAGGGGCGGAGCUGAAGCUAGAGCUGUGCCAAACAGACCCUAAGAGCCUGUUUGGCAUAGCUCCAGCUCCACCUCUCUGCAGCCAAACAGUUUCAGCUCCACCUAAAAUAAGAGUGGAGUUGGGUGGCUCUCUCACAAAAUGAACUAGAGUUGUGGAGUUGGAUUUAGGCAGCUCUACAACCCCACUCUAGACCCAACUCCUGGAGCUAAAUUUAGGAAUUGGAGCUCUACCAAAUAGACCAUUAGCGUUUAAA